rnacentral:sRNA from 15 species
GUAUGACGUGAGGGUCCUUCGCCACAUUUUAAUGCAGAUUUAUUCCAAUGUAAAUGUUAUUUCAAGCGUGUAUCUUGCGAAGGCUGUUGCUCCUGAUGUCUACUAAUUAUUUGCGUUUUUCUAUUUUCAGAUUCAUGAUAAAUUUGGUGGUAAGGUGUUAAUAAUCAAGGACCAGCUUAGGAUUUGUCGAGCAAAAUUGGGUGUUUCCAUGCAUCCUGUUUGACCCUUGUUUCGAUGUCCAUGCAUUCCAAAAGGCUACCCUUAACGUAUUGGGAUUGUUGUUGUUGCUGCUGUAAUUUGUGUGCAUGAAUAAAUUUGUAUUGGCUGGAUGUCAAUGUUGCCUGUGAUAUUAA